rnacentral:rRNA from 1 species
AGUGAACGCUGGCGGUAGGCCUAACACAUGCAAGUCGAACGGCAGCACAGUAAGAGCUUGCUCUUACGGGUGGCGAGUGGCGGACGAGUGAGGAAUACAUCGGAAUCUACUUUUUCGUGGGGGAUAACGUAGGGAAACUUACGCUAAUACCGCAUACGACCUACGGGUGAAAGCAGGGGAUCUUCGGACCUUGCGCGAUUGAGUGAGCCGAUGUCGGAUUAGCUAGUUGGCGGGGUAAAGGCCCACCAAGGCGACGAUCCGUAGCUGGUCUGAGAGGAUGAUCAGCCACACUGGAACUGAGACACGGUCCAGACUCCUACGGGAGGCAGCAGUGGGGAAUAUUGGACAAUGGGCGCAAGCCUGAUCCAGCCAUACCGCGUGGGUGAAGAAGGCCUUCGGGUUGUAAAGCCCUUUUGUUGGGAAAGAAAAGCAGCAGGUUAAUACCCCGCUGUUCUGACGGUACCCAAAGAAUAAGCACCGGCUAACUUCGUG